GUUUGAACCGGCCCAGGCCGAUUGCAACCUGAAGCGGGGAGAGGGGAGGCGGGGAGAAGCCAUAGAUCAGAGGAAGCUUUGCUCGGCUCUUAAGUCCAAUAAGAGGUCCAAAUUGCCCUUCUCAGGUCUUUUGCUGAAGAAUUGCAGCUUCCAGUUCAGCAGAUAAAUGACCAAAGAAAAUGAAGAAGAUAAAUUUCUUCUUUUGCAAGAAGUGGACAGAACUGACUAAAUAAACCUCUUAGAGGAGAGGAGAAGCUGGGAGCAAGUGAUAUUGAAACCUUUGCCCUCAGUAGCCAAGAUUCCAGAAAAGUCAACUGUGGGGCUUGAGCCAAUGGAUGUCUUCAGGAUAAUUUUUGAAUGAAAACAGCACAGGAGGAACGAGUUCCAUUCUUUUCCAUUCCCAUUUCCUAAGCAAAUU